rnacentral:rRNA from 1 species
AGAUUGAACGCUGGCGGCAUGCUUUACACAUGCAAGUCGAACGGUAACAGACCGCAAGGUGCUGACGAGUGGCGAACGGGUGAGUAAUGCAUCGGAACGUGCCCAGUCGUGGGGGAUAACGCAGCGAAAGCUGUGCUAAUACCGCAUACGAUCUAUGGAUGAAAGCGGGGGACCGAAAGGCCUCGCGCGAUUGGAGCGGCCGAUGUCAGAUUAGCUAGUUGGUGGGUAAAGGCCCACCAAGGCGACGAUCUGUAGCUGGUACUGACGAGGACGACCAGCCGACACUGGAACUGAGACACGGUCCAGACUCCGUACGGGAGGCAGCAGUGGGGAAUUUUGGACAAGUGGGCGCGAAGCCUGAUCCAGCAAUGCCGAGUGACAGGAAGAAGG